rnacentral:rRNA from 1 species
GAUCAUGGCUCAGGAUGAACGCUAGCUACAGGCUUAACACAUGCAAGUCGAGGGGCAGCAUUUUUAUAGCAAUAUAAAAGAUGGCGACCGGCGCACGGGUGAGUAACACGUAUCCAACCUGCCGAUAACUCGGGGAUAACCCUUCGAAAGAAGGCCUAAUACCCGAUGGCAUAUCCCUUCCGCAUGGUAGAACUAUUAAAGAAUUUCGGUCAUCGAUGGGGAUGCGUUCCAUUAGGUUGUUGGCGGGG